ACGAGUAGCUUCAGAACGAACGGCUGUCGGUUUUCUUGAUCGAAAGUUCGUCUCUUUAAUUUCUGUAAAAUGCAAUAUUAGGAAGCAUUUGACGUUCCGCAGGAGAUGUCGCUAUACCACGAUAUUGUCAUCGAUCAACCGGCUGGAGAGUUUGUCACCUCUGGAUCGAGGAGCAAUUAAUUCUGGCGAACGACUUCAUGGAUCGGACAGCGGAGCACAUGGUGGGAACGCGCCUGUUUCGUAUUAUCAUAACGGAAUCGGCGAAACACGCUUUCGCAGAGUAAUUAACUUUUCGCGUUCGCCACUGGUUUUCAAUGCUUGCCUGUUAUAUACCGUUGGAAAGAAAACAAAAGAAUUUAAAAGCUAGAUGCAAAUCAAAAGCACUCUGAUACCAAACUGCCGUAUAACGAUCAUUGGAAUAUCUUACGUAAUGCCAUGACGAAAGGGAAAAUCUUCAUGGAGACAUGAUUAAUUCAAGAUAGUUGGUCAAGUUUAGCAUCGCUGCAAAGAAAAACUAUGACAACAGCGCGAAUCUUUUUUGCACGACAUAAUGUUCCAGAAGAAACAGAGAAUGAGAUAUACGAAGCU